rnacentral:rRNA from 1 species
AGAAUCAACGCUGGCGGCGUGCCUCAGACAUGCAAGUCGAACGCGAAAGUCCCCUUCGGGGGACAAGUAGAGUGGCGCACGGGUGAGUAACACGUAGGUAAUCUACCUUCGGAUGGGGAAUAACAACCGGAAACGGUUGCUAAUACCGCAUAAUGCAGCGGCACCUAAUGGUGACAGUUGUUAAAGCGGGGGAUCGAAAGACCUCGCGUCUGAAGAGGAGCCUGCGGCGGAUUAGCUAGUUGGUAAGGUAAUGGCUUACCAAGGCUACGAUCCGUAACCGG